GGGCGAUCUGGCUGUGACGUCUGUCACCCCCUUGAUUGCCAGGGUUGAUUCGGCUGAUUUGGCUGGCUGGGUGUGUGUCCCCUUCCAUCCCUCCUGGAGCUGCAUGCUUGGUUGAAGAGGACGGCCUUCCCCAACCAGAGGAGGAUAGUCUUUGGUCAAGGGUAUAUGAGCAGUGCGUUCCCCUGCUAGAUCCUCCACACAAGCUCUCAAGGUCCAAAUAGUCCAUUAGUCCUGAGAUCAUCAAUUUUUGGUGAAGUUAGAGGUCUUAGGACCCAGGAACAUCUCAGAGGCUCCGCUUCGGAAUAUUGCUG
rnacentral:snRNA from 1 species